GGUCAAGUUAUUAAGGGUGCAGGGCGGAUGCCUUGGCACUAGGAGCCGAUGAAGGACGUGAUAAGCUGCGAUAAGCUUCGGGGAGUUGCACGUAAACUU
rnacentral:rRNA from 1 species